rnacentral:rRNA from 1 species
GACGAACGCUGGCGGCGUGCUUAACACAUGCAAGUCGAACGGAAAGGCCCUGCUUUUGUGGGGUGCUCGAGUGGCGAACGGGUGAGUAACACGUGAGUAACCUGCCCUUGACUUUGGGAUAACUUCAGGAAACUGGGGCUCAUACCGGAUAGGACCUCCUGCUGCAUGGUGGGGGUUGGAAAGUUUCGGCGGUUGGGGAUGGACUCGCGGCUUAUCAGCUUGUUGGUGGGGUAGUGGCUUACCAAGGCUUUGACGGGUAGCCGGCCUGAGAGGGUGACCGGCCACAUUGGGACUGGGAUACGGCCCAGACGCCUACGGGAGGCAGAAGUGGGGAAUAUUGCACAAUGGGCGGAAGCCUGAUGCAGCGACGCCGCGUGCGGGAUGACGGCCUUCGGGUUGUAAACCGCUUUCGCCGGUGACGAAGCGUGAGUGACGGUAAUGGGUAAAGAAGCACCGGCUAACUACGUG